GAUGAACGCUAGCGGCAGGCCUAACACAUGCAAGUCGAGGGAGAGGUUACCUUCGGGUAACCAAAACCGGCGCACGGGUGCGUAACGCGUAUACAAUCUGCCUUUCACAUAGGGAUAGCCCGAAGAAAUUUGGAUUAAUACCUAAUGGUAUAUAAGAGCGGCAUCGUUUUUAUAUUAAAGCUACGGUGGUGAAAGAUGAGUAUGCGUUCUAUUAGCUAGUUGGAGAGGUAACGGCUCCCCAAGGCGACGAUAGAUAGGGGUUCUGAGAGGGAUGUCCCCCACACUGGUACUGAGAUACGGACCAGACUCCUACGGGAGGCAGCAGUGAGGAAUAUUGGACAAUGGUCGGAAGACUGAUCCAGCCAUGCCGCGUGCAGGAUGAAGGUCCUACGGAUUGUAAACUGCUUUUGUAAGGGAAGAAUAAGGAGUACGUGUACUUUGAUGACGGUACCUUACGAAUAAGCAUCGGCUAACUCCGUG
rnacentral:rRNA from 1 species